rnacentral:lncRNA from 1 species
UUUGUAAGAAAGUGAGGAAUGGGAGGGGAAUCCGGCUGUUGUACUGGAUAGCACAGCUCUAGAUGUUGUCUGCAGGUAAUUUCAUCCAUGCUCAGAGCUUCAUUCUCUGUCUAUACCCUGUUUGAGAAAUAGCCACACUGUUUUCCACAAUGGUUGAACUAAUUUACAUUCCUGCCAACAGUGUAAAAGCGUUCCUAUUUCUCCACAGGAGAGGCCCUAUAUUUUGACUGUGCACUGGAGCCUGCAAACUACAUAGCUGGUUCUGACUGGGGCUGUUGGCCACAACAUCUUCACAUGGCCCUUCCAUGGGGCCUGGGCUCUCUCACAGCAUGACAGCUGGGUCCAGGUGUAAGAGUUUCCAGAAAGAGAGAGGGAGAGAAACAGAGACACAGAGAGACAGAAGAGAGGGAAGGUGAGGGGGAGGGAGAGGGAGAAAUAUAGCUUAGCUGACUCUUCCUUUAAAGAUCCACUCAGAAGUCCCUUUCUGGG